rnacentral:rRNA from 1 species
AGUGGAUGGGGAGCAACCUAGUUGUGCGUGUGUAAAGGUAGUGCCAAGAAAAGCUAUGAUCAUGUUGAAAAUCAAUUCCCGGUACCCGAAACCGACACAGGUGGGCAAGUAGAGAAUACUAAGGGGCGCGAGGUAACUCUCUCCAAGGAACUCGGCAAAAUGACCCCGUAACUUAGGGAGAAGGGGUGCCACCGAGAGGUGGUCGCAGUGAAGAGGCCCAGGCGACUGUUUAGCAAAAACAUAGGUCUCUGCAAACUCGAAAGAGGAGGUAUAGGGGCUGACGCCUGCCCAGUGCCGGAAGGUUAAAGAAGUUGGUCAGUCUUAGGAUGAAGCUAGCGACUGAAGCCCCGGUGAACGGCGGCCGUAACUAUAACGGUCCUAAGGUAGCGAAAUUCCUUGUCGGGUAAGUUCCGACCCGCACGAAAGGCGUAACGAUCUGGGCGCUGUCUCGGAGAGAGGCUCGGCGAAAUAGGAUUGUCUGUGAAGAUACGGACUACCUGCAUUUGGACAGAAAGACCCUAUGAAGCUUUACUAUAGCUUGGAAUUGUGUUCGGGCUUCCUGUGCGCAGGAUAGGUGGGAGGCGAAGAAGGUAUUCUUGUGGGGAUACUGGAGCCAACGGUGAGAUACCACUCUCAGGAGGCUAGAAUUCUAACUUAAUUAAGGACAGUUUCAGGUGGGUAGUUUGACUGGGGCGGUCGCCUCCAAAAAGGUAACGGAGGCGUACAAAGGUUCCCUCAGACUGGUUGGAAAUCAGUCGAAGAGUGCAAAGGCAGAAGGGAGCUUGACUGCGAGAAGUACAGUUCGAGCAGGGUGGAAACACGGUCUUAGUGAUCCGACGGUGCUGUGUGGAAGGGCCGUCGCUCAACGGAUAAAAGUUACUCUAGGAUAACAGGCUGAUCUCCCCCAAGAGUUCACAUCGACGGGGAGGUUUGGCACCUCGAUGUCGGCUCAUCGCAACCUGGGGCGGAAGUACGUCCCAAGGGUUGGGCUGUUCGCCCAUUAAAGCGGUACGUGAGCUGGGUUCAGAACGUCGUGAGACAGUUCGGUCCAUAUCCGAUGUAGGCGUGAGAAUAUUGAGAGGAGCCUUCCUUAGUACGAGAGGACCGGGAAGGACGCACCGCUGGUGUACCUGUUAUGAUGCCAAUUGUAAACGCAGGGUAGCCAAGUGCGGAGAGGAUAACCGCUGAAAGCAUCUAAGUGGGAAGCCCACCUCAAGAUGAGUAUUCUGGUGUAAGGUCACGGGAAGACUACCCGUAAAUAGGCACGAGGUGGAAGUGCAGAGAUGUAUGAAGCCGAAGUGUACUAAUAGACCGUCGGCUU